AUGCCACAGCUGAGGUGGGGGACACUGGACAAGGGCAGUUGAGAGGGCUUUAUGGUUACUCAGAGUGGAGAGAGGAGAGGCCUGGGUUGGGAGGCAUGUAGUGUGUGACUAUGUGUGAGUGUGUGUGUUUGUAUGUGUAAGUGAGUGAGUGUGUGUGUGUGGCACAGGCACAGUGGGAGGGGAGACACGGAAAGCCCGAAAGACCUGAAGCCUGUGCCUGCCAGCAGGUCUCCUAGCCCGCUGGUCACCCCCACGGGAGGACUGUGGAAGCUCCCUGGCCUCCGGAAGCUGGGGUGGGGGUGGGGACAGCCAGAGAGAGGGAGAGAGUGGGAUGGACAAGUAUCCGUGGGUUUGCAACACCCUGUGAAGAAGGAGGAGGGCCAGUCUGGCGACCCUGCUUUGGGGAAACCAGUGACCAACCCCCAAGAGAGGCACGGCCCAGCCCACCUCCACUCCCCAGAGCCAGGAGGGGUGGCGGCUUGGCAGGGCACCCAGCAGGUCGUGGAGGAAGCAGCCUUCCAGGCUGGAGGUUAGCCCCUCUCCAGAGGUCCCGAACAUGUCCUUUCAGAGUCACAGGAGCCGGGCAGCCCAGGGUGGCACUGGGCUCUGAAUCUCAGCUCCCUCCGCCCUCACUCUCUGCCCAGGGCAGGUCGCAGAACUUCACACCCAGGAUUCUCCUCCGUAAAAUGGGGGACCCUGAAGCCAGAGACCUGG
rnacentral:lncRNA from 1 species